GAUGAACGCUAGCUACAGGCUUAACACAUGCAAGUCGAGGGGUAACGAGAGGGAAGCUUGCUUUCCUUGUCGACGACCGGCGCACGGGUGAGUAACGCGUAUCCAACCUGCCCCCAACUAGGGAAUAACCUUGCGAAAGUAAGACUAAUACCCUAUAAUUUCCUCAGAUGUCAUCUGACGAGGAAUAAAGAUUUAUCGGUUGUGGAUGGGGAUGCGUCUGAUUAGCUUGUUGGCGGGGUAACGGCCAACCAAGGCGACGAUCAGUAGGGGUUCUGAGAGGGAGGUACCCCACAUUGGAACUGAGACACGGUCCAAACUCCUACGGGAGGCGGCAGUGAAGAAUAUUGGUCAAUGGGCGGAAGCCUGAACCAGCCAAGUAGUGUGCAGGAUGACGGCCCUAUGGGUUGUAAACUGCUUUUAUACAGGAAUAAAGUUAGCCACGUGUGGUUAUUUGUAGGUACUGUAUGAAUAAGGACCGGCUAAUUCCGUGCCAGCCGCCGCCGUAA
rnacentral:rRNA from 1 species